rnacentral:rRNA from 1 species
AUUGAACGCUGGCGGCAGGCCUCACACAUGCAAGUCGAACGAGUGGCGGACGGGUGCGUAAUGUCUGGGAAACUGCCUGAUGGAGGGGGAUAACUACUGGAAACGGUAGCUAAUACCGCAUACCCUCAGAUGUGCCCAGAUGGGAUUAGCUAGUUGGUGGGGUAACCGCUCCCGAAGGCGACGAUCCCUAGCUGGUCUGAGAGUAUGACCAUCCACACUGGAACUGAUACACGGGCCAGACUCCUACGGGAGGCAGCAGUGGGGAAUAUUGCAGAAUGGGCGCAAGCCUGAUGCUGCCAUGCCGCGUGUAUGAAGUAGGACUUCGGGUUGUAAAGUACUUUCAGCGGGGAGGCGGUACCCGCAGAAGAAGCACCGGCUAACUCCGUGCCAGCCGCCGCGGUAAUUC